CAUUGACAAAUCUUAUUUUAAAAAUAUGACAUUGGUUCGGGGUAAAAUCUGAACUUAAUGUAAUAUUAACCCAGAGCCAGAUUGGCUCUGGCAAUUUUCUAUGGUGAGGGAAUGGGUCUGUUAAAAGUUCCUUUCUUUUGCUGUAGAAGAUUGUCAAAAGUUUGAGCUAUUGAAGUGAAAUAUAUUCAAUAGCACAUAAACUCGAUUGUAUUUUGUUUGACAGUGUAUUAUUUGAUUGUACAUUAAACCGUACCAUUAAAUACUUAUUGAAAAAAUAUAUACAACUUUUAACAAUGGAUCUCUUGGCCCUUGCAACGAUGAAGAACGCAGUGAAAUGCGAUACGUAAUGUGAAUUGCAUCACUUUGUGAAUCAUCAAAUCUUUGAACGCAACUUGCACUCUUUGGCUUGCUAAAGAGUAUACCUGUUUGAGAAUCAUAAAUAUCAACUUGACUUGAGUUCGAGUCAAAAUUGAGACUUCAUUUGUUGUUCACAAUAGGAUGAGUCUUGAAUUAUAUAAGAAUUCAGGUUUCGGUGUGACCGCAUAUACUGAACAUUGUGGGAUACGAAACUGUAGGAAAGAUUUUCUACGGAUCGAAUUUCAUCAUCACAAUGAGUUCAGUAUGAAAGGUGUGACCGGAGCAAUUUUCAACUGAAUACUUCAACAAUUUAUUACGAAUAUAUUUUUAUAUUCAACAUUUGAUCUCAAAUCAGGCAAGACUACCCGCUGAACUUAA
rnacentral:rRNA from 1 species